rnacentral:miRNA from 9 species
GUGUAUUCACCAGUUCCAUAGA